rnacentral:rRNA from 1 species
AGAGUUUGAUCAUGGCUCAGGAUGAACGCUAGCGGCAGGCUUAACACAUGCAAGUCGAGGGGCAGCAUGUCCAGCAAUGGAUGAUGGCGACCGGCGGAAGGGUGCGUAACGCGUGAGCAACAUGCCCUAUACAGGGAGAUACACUAGGGAAACUUGGUCUAAUAUCCCAUAGCAUUCAUUGAAGGCAUCUUUAAUGAAUUAAAGCUUCGGUGGUAUAGGAUUGGCUCGCGUGACAUUAGCCAGAUGGUGAGGUAACGGCUCACCAUAGCAAUGAUGUCUAGGGGUUUUGAGAGGAAGGCCCCCCACACUGGGACUGAGACACGGCCCAGACUCCUACAGGAGGCAGCAGUGAGGAAUAUUGGACAAUGGAUGGAAAUCUGAUCCAGCCAUGCCGCGUGCAGGAAGACGGCCUUAUGGGUUGUAAACUGCUUUUAUACGGGAGCAAUAAGGGUUACGAGUAAUCCGAUGAGAGUACUGUAUGAAUAAGGAUCGGCUAACUCCGUGCCAGCAGCCGCGGUAAUACGGAGGAUCCGAGCGUUAUCCGGAAUUAUUGGGUUUAAAGGGUGCGUAGGCGGCCAUUUAAGUCAGCGGUGAAAUUUUGCAGCUUAACUGUAACAGUGCCGUUGAUACUGUUUGGCUAGGAUUUGGUUGUAGUGUGCGGAAUGUGUGGUGUAGCGGUGAAAUGCUUAGAUAUCACACAGAACACCGAUUGCGAAGGCAGCACACUAAGUCAUUAUUGACGCUGAGGCACGAAAGUGUGGGGAUCAAACAGGAUUAGAUACCCUGGUAGUCCACACUGUAAACGAUGAUAACUCGCUGUCGGCGAUACACAGUCGGUGGCCAAGCGAAAGCAUUAAGUUAUCCACCUGGGGAGUACGACCGCAAGGUUGAAACUCAAAGGAAUUGACGG